rnacentral:sRNA from 1 species
UGUCCGCGGGAUGGCGCUCUUCUUCUACUCUCAUGCCUGCAACCGGAUUUGCGAGAGCAUGGGCCUUGCUCCCUUUGACCUCUCGCCCCGGGAGAGGGAUGCGGUGAAUCAGAACACCAAGCUGCUGCAAUCAGCCAAGACCAUCUUGAGAGGAACAGAGGAAAAAUGUGGGAGCCCCCGAGUAAGGACCCUCUCUGGGAGCCGGCCACCCCUGCUCCGUCCCCUUUCAGAGAACUCUGGAGACGAGAACAUGAGCGACGUGACCUUCGACUCUCUCCCUUCUUCCCCAUCUUCGGCCACACCACACAGCCAGAAGCUAGACCACCUCCAUUGGCCAGUGUUCAGUGACCUUGAUAACAUGGCAUCCAGAGACCAUGAUCAUCUAGACAACCACCGGGAGUCUGAGAAUAGUGGGGACAGCGGAUACCCCAGUGAGAAGCGGGGUGAGCUGGAUGACCCUGAGCCCCGAGAACAUGUAAGGAACCCCCAGGAAAUGAGACCGGUGUCACCUGUUGCCUUGUUUAUCCUCCAGGAAAAUGAAAACUCCCCUUCCUGGAGGGGGAAUAUGAGUGGGUCCUGAGAAGAUAACAAGUAAAUUAAUAAAGAGUAU